GAAACAGGAUCUUAAAUACAGAGGGUGCCCUCUCCGUCUGCAUGGUAACAUAGUCAAUGAUGGGAAAAGGCCCAAACACACAUCUGCUUGGGAGAGUUAAAAUGCACAACAGCCCAACUCUGCAGGAGAUACUCCUGCUGUCCAAGUUUUGUAGGGCUUUCACUACAAUGCACAAUAUCAUUAUUAGAAUAAACUAACGGGAUGGACAGAUCAAAAAGAAAAUGAGCAAGGACCCAGGCAGUAGCUCAGCAAUAAUCUUCAUUAUUGGCCUUUUCAUGAUGGUAUUCAUACUGUUGUGUUACAAAUGUCAUAUUUAAUCUAUUCCACUUUAUUUAAAAAAAAGACAGCAGAGUACGGAAUUCAAGAACAACGUUAAAAGCAAACUACUGGAAACACUCAGCAGGUCAAGCAACACCUAUGGAGAGAAACAGAGUUAACAGUUUGGGUCAAUGACUUUUCAUCACAACCUGUUCAAAAAUCAAAGCUAACUCUGUUGCUUCGCUUUCCAGAAAUACUGCCCAAGUCCAGAGGGCUUUCUGUUCAUAUUUCAGAUUUCCAGCAUCUGCAGUAUUUUCCUCUCAUUUCAAGAAAACAAGACGACAGCAGCUUGUGAAAUGAAAUGAUCUCUUGGUCAACUAGCAGGAAAUGGAUAUAGUUAAAAGAAAGCACUUACAUGACAUUAGAGAUGCUAGCCACUAGAAAAACAAAAACUCAAAACGAUACAGAGAUAGUUGUAAGUUGUGGU